CUCCCUUGUUGUGGAGCCCAAAACUGAGCAAGCGCAAAGUUUUUGGCCGGGGCCAGGUUUGAACCCACCACCUCCAGUAUAUGGGAAAAUACUUUUUUAUAGCAUGAAGAAGAGACAGAUACGGAUGAGGGAAUAAUUCAUUAAGCACAGGGAAAGACUCUGGAAUUUCCUGAUGUGACCAAGGAAGCUUCUUUCUGAAAAAUGCAAUUGUUUUAAUCCCCCUCCUUAAGGAUUCAUCAAAUAAUCAGGUCAGGUAAAAGUGGUCUCUGGCAGAAGAAGUGGCUUUUUCUGCCCAAUGGAGAAAAUCUAUGCCUGUGUAUUCCAGUAAACUUCACUUGGAUCUGUGGUUUCUGAGCAUUACAAGAUGGAAAUGCAUUUCUAAACCACCAGCUGGUCAGAACUUUAUUGGACCUAAACAUGAAAAUGUAGCAACUGAAAAGGGAAGAUGAGCUAGAAAUCAUACCCGAACGUCAAAGCCUCCCCGAGAGACAAUGCCAUGAAUCCAGAGUAAGGAAAUGCAUCCUUGAAGAUCUGCACCCUACAAAUACCAUAGACAACUCUGAAGCAGUUCUGACAGUGACAUUAUGGAUGCUUUACAUGAGUUUGAGGAUCCAUUUGUAGACCAAGAACUUAGAGAUGCCAAGGGGAAGUAAAAACCACUUAAGAGAGGAAAGAGAAAAUGAUAUGUUAUUUAUUCAUGGUUUUGACUGGGACAUAAAAGCAAAAAUAAAAGGUGCU